rnacentral:tRNA from 1 species
GGGAGUGGUUGCGGUCUGGUGGCUGUCCUCGUCUUCAAAACGAGUGGCCGGUUGCGCCGAGCAAGCGGCGGUGGGUUCGACUCCCAUCCACUCCCG